rnacentral:rRNA from 1 species
CCUACGGGUGGCAGCAGUGGGGAAUAUUGGACAAUGGGCGAAAGCCUGAUCCAGCCAUGCCGCGUGUGUGAAGAAGGCCUUCGGGUUGUAAAGCACUUUCAGUGGGGAAGAAAGCCUUGGGGCUAAUACCCUCGAGGAAGGACAUCACCCACAGAAGAAGCACCGGCUAACUCCGUGCCAGCAGCCGCGGUAAUACGGAGGGUGCGAGCGUUAAUCGGAAUUACUGGGCGUAAAGCGCGCGUAGGCGGUCUGAUAAGCCGGUUGUGAAAGCCCCGGGCUCAACCUGGGAACGGCAUCCGGAACUGUCAGGCUAGAGGGCAGGAGAGGAAGGUAGAAUUCCCGGUGUAGCGGUGAAAUGCGUAGAGAUCGGGAGGAAUACCAGUGGCGAAGGCGGCCUUCUGGACUGACACUGACGCUGAGGUGCGAAAGCGUGGGUAGCAAACAGGAUUAGAUACCCGGGUAGU